UCAAACUUGGUCAUUUAGAGGAAGUAAAAGUCGUAACAAGGUUUUCGUAGGUGAACCUGCGGAAGGAUCAUUACUGAAGUCUGGGGGAGUGCUGGCCUUGUUGGGCAUGUGCACCCCCUUCCCUUCAUCCACAUACACCUGUGCACCUCUCGAGGCGGGCCCUUCCGUGCCCGGAGCCGGCUCAUGGGCUUUGCAUGCCUGUGGGCCUGAGGGCCCGCCUACAACCUUUUUCACAAACACUUUGUAUGACGUGGAAAGUAGUCGCGGCGUUGCCGCAAAACCAAUGUACAACUUUCAACAACGGAUCUCUUGGUUCUCGCAUCGAUGAAGAACGCAGC
rnacentral:misc_RNA from 1 species